UACGUAGGGUGCAAGCGUUGUCCGGAAUUAUUGGGCGUAAAGAGCUCGUAGGCGGUUAGUCGCGUCUGCUGUGAAAACUCGGGGCUUAACUCCGGGCCUGCAGUGGGUACGGGCUGACUAGAGUGCGGUAGGGGAGACUGGAAUUCCUGGUGUAGCGGUGAAAUGCGCAGAUAUCAGGAGGAACACCGAUGGCAAAGGCAGCUCGCUGGGACGGUACUGACGCUGAGGCGCGAAAGCGUGGGGAGCAAACAGG
rnacentral:rRNA from 1 species